UACAAUCAUCACAUAUAUCACACAAACACACAUAACACAUUAAGUGAAGUGAGUCAUAUUAAGUUUUGAUAUUCAUCACUACUUAAGAAGCCAUGGAGAAGAAAUCACUAGCUUGCUUGUCCUUCCUCCUCCUCGUUCUCUUUGUUGCACAAGAAAUAGUGGUGAGUGAAGCAAACACAUGUGAGAAUUUGGCUGGUUCAUAUAAGGGAGUAUGCUUCGGUGGAUGUGACCGUCACUGUAGAACACAAGAGGGCGCAAUUAGCGGCAGAUGCAGGGAUGACUUUCGCUGUUGGUGCACUAAAAACUGUUAAAUCCCUUUUCUCCAACACCAACAACACCAUUAUAGAAUACUAUAAUAUAAAUAAAUAAACAAGUCUUGUUUCUGAAUUGUAUGUGUGUACUCAAUAUCGUGUAUAACGUCUUUGUUAUGCACUUUUAUCAUAUCAUAUGGAAUAAAAAGUAAUCAAUAAUUUCCUUUCCAACA